GCCCGAGUGGCGGAAUUGGCAUACGCGCACGACUCAAAAUCGUGUGUCCUUACGGACUUGUGGGUUCAACUCCCACCUCGGGCACAA
rnacentral:tRNA from 1 species